ACUUGCAUCAUGAUCAGAGGUAUCUAGUCGAAUGGCGUGGGAAAGCCAACCACAGAGGGUGAGAGUCCCGUAGACGAAAGAGAAGACUGACAGCGAGUAUCCAGAGUACCGCCGGACACGUGAAACCCGGUGGGAACAUGGGAGGACCACCUUCCAAGCCUAAAUACUACCUGAUGACCGAUAGAGAAGCAGUACCGUGAGGGAAAGGUGAAAAGAACCCCGGGAGGGGAGUGAAAUAGUACCUGAAACCUUGUGCUUACAAGCAGUCAGAGCACGUUAAAGUGUGAUGGCGUACCUUUUGUAGAAUGGUCCGGCGAGUUAUAGUCACUGGCGAGGUUAAGCAAUUCAGUUGUGGAGCCGAAGGGAAACCGAGUCUUAAUAGGGCGUCGAGUCAGUGGCCAUAGACCUGAAACCGGGUGACCUAUCCAUGAGCAGGUUGAAGUUGGUGUAAAAGCCAAUGGAGGACCGAACCCACGUUCGUUGCAAUGACCGGGGAUGACUUGUGGAUAGCGGAGAAAUUCCAAUCGAACUCGGAGAUAGCUGGUUCUCCCCGAAAUAGCUUUAGGGCUAGCGUUGUGUUAGUUUACCGGAGGUAGAGCACUGAAUUGGCUAAGGGGCGAUGAGCUUACUGAACCUUAUCAAACUUCGAAUGCCGGAUAAAUGGUGCACAGCAGUCAGACAGUGUGAGAUAAGUUUCAUUGUCAAGAGGGAAACAGCCCAGACCCACAGCUAAGGUCCCAAAUGAACGCUAAGUGGAAAACGAUGUGGGGUUGCAGAAACAACCAGGAUGUUGGCUUAGAGGCAGCCACUCAUUAAAAGAGUGCGUAAUAGCUCACUGGUCGAGUGACCCUGCGCGGAAAAUAUAACGGGGCUAAGCGUCCAACCGAAGCUUGGGAUGUCUAAGGACAUGGUAGGGGAGCGUCGUGUAUAGGGAGAAGCAUGAGCGAGAGCACAUGUGGACAGUACACGAGUGAGAAUGCCGGAAUGAGUAGCGAGAAUUAUGUGGGAAUCAUAAUGGCCGAAAAUCUAAGGUUUCUUGGGGAAGGUUCGUCCGCCCAAGGUAAGCCGGGAGCUAAGGCGAGGCCGAAAGGCGUAGUCGAUGCACAUACGGUUGAAAUUCCGUAGCCGCCGAAAUUGUUAAGCACAGGGACACAUAGAGAUAUCCGAACCCGGGCGUUGGUUGACCCGGGCGCAAGGGACCGAACAUCAGUAGGGAAGUCGGAGAUGCUCUGUGGCGAGAAAAGCUGUGUGUAUUGAUUAGGCGCCCGUACCGCAAACCGACACAGGUAGAUGAGGAGAGAAUCCUAAGGCCAACGGGAGAAGGGUUGUUAAGGAACUCGGCAAAUUGACCCCGUAACUUCGGGAUAAGGGGAGCCUCCUACGGGAGGCCGCAGUGAAUAGGCCCAAGCAACUGUUUACCAAAAACACAGGUCUCUGCUAAAUCGAAAGAUGACGUAUAGGGGCUGACGCCUGCCCGGUGCCGGAAGGUUAAGAGGAGAGCUUAGCGCAAGCGAAGGUUUGAAUUGAAGCCCCGGUAAACGGCGGCCGUAACUAUAACGGUCCUAAGGUAGCGAAAUUCCUUGUCAGGUAAGUUCUGACCCGCACGAAUGGCGUAAUGAUUUGGGCACUGUCUCAACAGCCCGCCCGGCGAAAUUGUAGUACUGGUGAAGAUGCCAGUUACCCGCAACUAGACGGAAAGACCCCAUGGAGCUUUACUGUAGCUUAAUACUGAAGAUCGGUAAUGCAUGUACAGGAUAGGUGGGAGCCUAUGAAACCGGGCCGUCAGGUUCGGCGGAGGCAACCUUGGAAUACCACCCUUGUAUUGCUGGUUUUCUAACCUGCGGCCGUGAAUCCGGUCGGGGGACACUGUUAGGCGGGCAGUUUGACUGGGGCGGUCGCCUCCAAAAGAGUAACGGAGGCGCUCAAAGGUUGGCUCAGCACGGACGGAAAUCGUGCACAGAGUGCAAACGCAUAAGCCAACUUGACUGCGAGACCGACGGGUCGAGCAGGUACGAAAGUAGGAGUUAGUGAUCCGGUGGUAUGUGAGUGGAAAUGCCAUCGCUCAACGGAUAAAAGCUACCCUGGGGAUAACAGGCUGAUCUCCCCCAAGCGUCCACAGCGACGGGGAGGUUUGGCACCUCGAUGUCGGCUCGUCACAUCCUGGGGCUG
rnacentral:rRNA from 1 species